rnacentral:rRNA from 1 species
GUUAGUGGCGAAAGGUGAGGAAUAAUAGGAACGUACCCUGUGCUCUGGGAUAGCGUCUGAAGCUUCGGCUUCUUCCGAAAGGGGCGGUAAUACCAGAUAAUGUCCUUCGGGACCAAAGAUUUAUCGGCAUUGGAGCGGCCUAUCUCCUAUCAGCUUGUUGGUGAGGUAACGGCUCACCAAGGCAACGACGGGUAGCGGGACUGAGAGGUUGGCCCGCCACAUCGGGACUGAGACACUGCCCGGACCUCCACGGAGGGCUGCAGUAACGGAUAUUGGGCAAUGGGCGAAAGCCUGACCCAGCAAUGCCGCGUGCAGGAUGAAGCCCCUAGGGGUGUAAACUGCUGUCAGGGGUCAGAAAGCUGGUUUCGGCCAGUUGAUCAACCCCAGAGGAAGUCACGGCUAACUUCGUGCCAGCAGCCGCGGUAAUACGAAGGUGGCAAGCGUUAUUCGGAAUCAUUGGGCUUAAAGGGCACGCAGGCGGAACAGUGUGUGUUGUGUGAAAUCCCCCGGGCUCAACCGGGGAAUUGCACAGCAAACUGCUGUUCUUGAGGCAGGUAGGGGUGCAUGGAACUCUUGGUGGAGCGGUGGAAUGCGUAGAUAUCAAGAGGAACGCCAGAGGUGAAGACGGUGCACUGGGCCUGUCCUGACGCUGAGGUGCGAAAGCGUGGGGAGCGAACGGGAUUAGAUACCCCGGUAGUCCACGCCGUAAACGAUGUCUACUAGGUCGUGGGUGUUCUGACACAUUCACGGCCGGAGCAAAAGUGUUUAGUAGACCGCCUGGGGAGUACGGCCGCAAGGUUAAAACUCAAAUGAAUUGACGGGGGCUCACACAAGCGGUGGAGCAUGUGGAUUAAUUCGAAGCAACGCGCAGAACCUUACCUGGGUUUGACAUGCUUGUAUGCCUUCUCUGAAAGGAGUUAGGCUGCCUUCGGGUGAAACUUGCACAGGUGCUGCAUGGCUGUCGUCAGCUCGUGUCGUGAGAUGUCGGGUUAAGUCCUUUAACGAGCGAAACCCUUGCCGUUAGUUGCCAGCGAGUAAUGUCGGGGACUCUAACGGGACUGCCGGUGUUAAGCCGGAGGAAGGUGGGGAUGACGUCAAGUCCUCAUGGCCUUUAUGCCCAGGGCUUCACACGUGCUACAAUGGCAAUUACAGAGCGACGCGAUACCGCGAGGUGGAGCAAAUCGCAAAAAAAUUGCCUCAGUUCGGAUUGCAGGCUGGCAAUUCGCCUGCAUGAAGUCGGAAUCGCUAGUAAUCGCGUAUCGGCAAUGACGCGGUGAAUGUGUUCCUGAGCCUUGUACACACCGCCCGUCAAGUGAUGGAAGCCGGGAGUACCCGAAGUCGGGUUGCUAACC